AACACAUGCAAGUCGAACGGUAACAGGAAAUAGCUUGCUAUUUUGCUGACGAGUGGCGCACGGGUGCGUAACGCGUAUACAAUCUACCUCUUGCUGAGGGAUAGCCCAGAGAAAUUUGGAUUAAUACCUCAUGGUAUUAUAGAUAGGCAUCUAUUUAUAAUUAAAGGUUACGGCGAGAGAUGAGUAUGCGUCCCAUUAGCUAGUUGGCGAGGUAACGGCUCACCAAGGCAACGAUGGGUAGGGGUCCUGAGAGGGAGAUCCCCCACACUGGUACUGAGACACGGACCAGACUCCUACGGGAGGCAGCAGUGAGGAAUAUUGGACAAUGGGCGGGAGCCUGAUCCAGCCAUGCCGCGUGCAGGAAGACUGCCCUAUGGGUUGUAAACUGCUUUUAUACAGGAAGAAUAAGCCUUACGUGUAAGGUGAUGA
rnacentral:rRNA from 1 species